GCAGCAGCCUGGAACGUCCACGUGGUCACAGUCCCGAGGGACGUGCAGUUAACCCAGCACAGCCAGCUCUGCUCGCGCUCGCCCUCCAGGCUACACCGGGCCGCGCAGGUGUCACCGAGCCUAGGUCCAGAGGCGGCUGACUCGGUUCGGCAGGCCGGGCGGCGUCAACAGAGAAGAGGUUUCACUCUCAGCCUGGACCCUCGACAGGGUCUCACUCUGUUGCCCAGGCUGGAGUGCAGUGGUAGGAUCUCAGCUCACGGCAACCUCCACCUCCUAGAUCAAGUGAUUCUUCUGCCUCAGCCUCCCAAGUAUCUGGGAUUACAGGCGUGCGCCACCAUGCCUGGCCCAUUUUUUUUUUUGUAUAUUUUAGUAGAGACGAGGUUUCACCACGUUGGCCAGGCUGGUCUGGAACUCCUGACCUCAGGUGAUCCACCCACCUUGGCCUCCCAAAGUGCUGGGAUUACAGGCUCAACUGUAUUUUUUAAAGGCAUGGUGAAGAAACCAGAAAAUACCACAGUAUUAAUGGCGGGUUUCUCUGGGGCUGGGAUCAUGGCAGUCCUCUUGUCAGCCAGCUGCUCCCACGUCAUCCAGUUGCCAGAACACUUUUCACAGGCAACUUGGCAAGGGCGGUGAGAAGCAAAAUUCUUAGGCGUGUCUACCUUGGUCAGUGUAGUACUGUAUGUAAAGUGGACAUCAGGUAAUAUGCCAUUUCUAAGUUACCCUCCCUAGAAAAGCACUCGAAUGUUCCCCUCAACACUGAAUCUGAGAGAGGGCAGAGGGGCAGCGGGAGUUAGUGGUCCCCAGUGCGCUCACGUCACUUGCUUUCAUCUGUGGGAACUUCCAGGAAGGUGUGGGAGGAGGAGGGUCGGCCAAGGGCACUCACAUAGACGGCGAAGUCCUUGGGGGCGCUGCUGAUGUUGCCUGUUGGUGACAGCGUCUUAGGGAUGUGCUCCAGAGUGAAGGCGGCUGGGUGGAUCAUCAUGGAGAGCCUCACCACCAGGUACCCCUGGGAGCCUUUAAAUGCCCAGCAGUUACCGGGGUAAAUGUCAGGCUGGGGAAAGGAAAAACAUGAGGACUAAGAGUGUGAGCAUGCUCUUACCCACUUAGCAGCAGGAAGAGGAAAGACUGAUUAUACUGAGAUAAAAAUAAGUUUUACAUGGUAGAAACUGCCAUGAGCAAAAUCCGAAGAUAAGCUGGGAAAGGCAUUUGUAAUUCACUCCUCGAAGGGCCACUAUCGCCAACCCAUAUGUUAUAUAAAACGACCAGAACCUUAAAGAAAAAUGGGUGAGACAUACAACAUACUUCAAAGAAAAGGUGAACGUCAAUGGUGCUUGGUCGUGGGAAGAUGCCCUCCACGCUGCACAGCAAGAAGGGACAACAUCACAGGGAACCACCACUGCCUCCAUCCGACCAACAUCAAGGGUCAGAGUCCGCUGCUGACACCCUGGGAAAACGCACGUUCUAACCUAACCCGGCCACGGUGCAGCGUGCAGCCCCAGAGGCACAGCUUGGCAAGGUCGGCCCGCUGUGCACACAUCUGCCUCUGGCCUGCAAUCGCACCUCCACCUCCAGGUGCAGGGGCAGAACUGCAGGAUGCAGACGCGAUCGGAGAGCACUCUUCACAGCACAACGUCCCCAGGGACUGACUGAGAAGUUGCAGACGCUGCGCCCAGGCAGCCGCGCUGCUGUGCGCGACGGAAGAGGAGACCAUGCGGGCAGCCUGCCUUCGGUGUGUGAGGACGACACAUGCAUUUCAUUCAUGUUUAGAAGAGACGGUGAACGAUGGGCACGUACCCGCCGGCUUCUCCUCUAUGCCAGCUGUGGAUUUACUGCCCCUCAGCCCCCAAGCCGUCUUCUGCUGCGCUGUGAAGAUGGAGCUGAGCCUUGAACUGCUCUCCCUUUGCCAGCCCAGAGCCUAGCCCUUGCCAGCUCAGGGUGCUGGAGGGACACUGAGGUUCCCUGGUACCCCUCUUGGGGGUGUUGCAGCCAAACGCCUGGAGCUGACAGCUUCUCAGUCCAGUCCCAUCACGUGAUUGGUGCUUCAUAUGAAGUCUGCCCUCCAGUGACCGUGCACGUCCUUCUGAGAGAGAACUGUGCCAGGGGAGGGCUGAGCUCCACCCUCUCCCUCAGUCUCUAAGACACUGAAGCCAUGCAGUGCUCUCACCACCAGAUCCUCACCAGCAUCACACUGACAACGCUGCAGGCCAGUGAGCUCCUCUGGGAGGGUCGGGAUCACCAAGCCCUCUGAGAAGGAUGUUAUGGCCAGGAGCAGGAGAACUGCCAUGCAGGAACACUGUGGCAACCCCGUGCAGGAAACCUGUCGGCCCUGCCAGGUGACACAGACUGUGCCGGUGGCGCUCGUGAGCUGGCACAGAAAAAGCAGCCGCAUGCCAAAUGCAGGGCUGUGUGGCUUUGUGGCAGCAGAGGCUGCGUCUGCCUGCAUUGAGGAGGGGCUCCAGCUGUGCCCUCAGGAGCGAGGCGCUGGUGAGCCCAUGCGGUGCUGAUGGCCGCAGAAAGCCAAACAGUCACGCUGACCGGACACUUCCGCCGGGGCAGCCUGGGGACGAGAUCAUGAUGACGACAGUCCCACGGGGUCCUCAACGUCAGGUCACAGGCACUUCAUGAAUUCUUUCAGGCUGGACUUGUGUUUUCCAAGUGAAAGACGUCUUGGCGUUGUUCCACAUACAAGGAAUUAUUGGACUUUUCUUCAAAACAUGGCAUGACUAUGAGGCAGGAUUUGAGUACUGAGGCAAAAUAAAUCUAUUUAAAUUCUCCAUCCUUUAGUGCUUUAAACUUGUACAGCCAGUAGUCUAAAGUAUUAAAUGAAGCCACAGAAAAGCAGCACACAACAAGGACCACAGCAGAAAGUCCAGGAGACGGGGGCUGAAGGCCCGGGGAGACGGGGGCGGGGAGGGGUGGGCGAAGGCCUGGGGAGACGGUGGG